rnacentral:rRNA from 1 species
CAUGUGGGGCAAGCGUUGUUCGGAAUUACUGGGCAUAAAGGGUGCGUAGGCGGCUUGCUAAGUCAGUGGUGAAAUCGUCCGGCCCAACCGGACACGUGCCAAUGAUACUGGUGGGCUAGAGUGCGUGAGGGGUAGGGGGAACGAGCAGUGUAGCGGUGAAAUGCGUAGAUAUUGCUCGGAAGGCCAAAGCCGAAGGGACCCUACUGGUGCGCAACUGACGCUGAGGCACGAAAGCGUGGGGAGCAAACAGGAUUAGAUACCCUGGUAGUCCACGCCGUAAACGAUGAUCACUAGGUGGGUGCUGAGCUAUCGGUGCCCGCGCAGGUAAUUUGCUAAGUGAUCCGCCUGGGGAGUAUGGUCGCAAGGCUG